rnacentral:lncRNA from 10 species
GGAGUUGCAGUUGGAGGCUGCGGGAAUACAAAGUGACACUGACUGCCGGGUAACUGUCUCUCAGGACAUUUGUGCUUUGAGUCUCUGCAACUCUGGACCAUCUCUGCAGGCUAAAAGAUGUGCCUGUUGCUAAGAGGAGGAGCCCUGCAGCAGGAAUCCGGUGCCAGCUGACCUGGAACAACCUGAUCUCCAGAAAGCAUCCCUGUUAUACUCAAAUGGGCCUUCCAGAUGAGCCCUGGGUGUCUACCUUUCAAGAGGAACAAGAAAAGAGAGGUGGGAAUAUGGAACCAAGCCAAAGAUUCUGCAGGAUCCUGCACAGUGAGCAUUGUUCUGGUUCAGGCCACUGUGCUCAACUGAACAGUAUCAGUAGCACAACAUUUGGAUGCCCUUGAAUACUGUUCCUGUUUCAAUUCAUUUGUUUGUCUGAGAAUUGGGAAUGCAUGUCUGGGCAGUGACAAGAGGCCAAAGAAAGCAGAAGAUGUGUGAAGAGGAGAAUCGAUUUUCCAUAAUGAGAUGUCAGAAACACUGCUUGCUAAGUCAGCCUGAAACCAAAGAAGAAGAAUGGCAUUCAGUGAUAAGAACUGUUCAUGAGCCUGAAUUCCAUGGCUGCUCCUGCACAAACCACCGGACACAGAUCCGGGGAAAGGCAACAAAGUUGCCUCUACUUUGUGAGUGGCUAGAAGUUACUGGACAUCUGGGAGCCCUGGUGCCUUGACUGUAAAAUGGAGACAACAACUCCUCUCAUGGUUGUUAUGACAAGGAAAUGAGAGAUACAUAUCAAGUGCCUAACAUAGAGCUGGCUCCUAUGAACCAGAACUUAUUAAGCAAUUGUAGAAGGCAAGAUUUAAAGCACAGACUUUGGAGCAGUCCUUGGGUUCCAAUCCUGGCUGCAUCGUUUAUCAUCUCUGAGCCUCAGUUUCCACAUCUGUAACAAAAGCUUUCAUUUUACAGAUGUAAAAGCAGUGUGUACCUCCAAGGGGUGGUUGUGAGGAUUAAUCAAGUUAAUACACAUGGCAUUCUCAGAUCAGUGCCUUGCACGGCAAUUUACUCAAUAAAUGUUAGCGAUUUUUUUUCAAUACAUGGUCAUUUUUUUUUUUUUUGGUCUCUUUUUAACUGCUCAAGAGGAAGACUGUGAGGAUUUUAAAUAGCCUGGAUUCUCUUCCUUCUGUCAACCAUAUGUCUUAACA